rnacentral:rRNA from 1 species
UACAGAGGGUGCGAGCGUUAAUCGGAAUUACUGGGCGUAAAGCGUGCGUAGACGGUUACAUAAGUCGGGUGUGAAAUCCCCGGGCUCAACCUGGGAAUUGCAUUCGAAACUGCGAGGCUAGGGUACGGAAGAGGGAAGCGGAAUUUCUGGUGUAGCGGUGAAAUGCGUAGAUAUCAGAAGGAACAUCAGUGGCGAAAGCGGCUUCCUGGUCCAGUACCGACGUUCAGGCACGAAAGCGUGGGGAGCAAACAGG